UACGUAGGGUGCGAGCGUUGUCCGGAAUUAUUGGGCGUAAAGAGCUUGUAGGCGGUUUGUCGCGUCUGCUGUGAAAUCUCAAGGCUCAACCUUGAGCUUGCAGUGGGUACGGGCAGACUAGAGUGUGGUAGGGGAGACUGGAAUUCCUGGUGUAGUGGUGAAAUGCGCAGAUAUCAGGAGGAACACCGAUGGCGAAGGCAGGUCUCUGGGCCACUACUGACGCUGAGAAGCGAAAGCAUGGGGAGCGAACAGG
rnacentral:rRNA from 1 species